UGUGUGUGAGUUCCACCCUCAGAGUCGAUGCUCUGCAGCGUUUCAUUGCAACACAGCAGCUUCUCCUGAGCCAAACAGUUAAAGAGAGAAGCAGCGAUGAGUUUUUCUGCAGCAGCAGCAACUGGGUUUGUUGUCCUGUUCCUCUCUGUGACAGUGGGAAAAGAUGAACCUGCCUGGUCAGUUAAAUAUGAUCCAUCUCAGAUCUGUGCCUUUAGAGGAUCAACAGUGACGAUAAAAUGCUCCUAUAAAUAUCCAUCUAGAAUACAAGGAAUAAAAACAGAAGUUAAAACAAGGUUCUGGUUCACUAAAGAAAAUAAUCGAGUCCCUUUGGAUCUGAUGAACGACUCUGACUACAAAGAUCGAAUAACUUAUUAUUUUACACAGAGCAGCAGCAGCUUUCUGACAAUCAAAGAUCUGAAACAAAGAGACUCAGCAAAGUACAAGUUCAGGUUCAUAACAAACCAACCAGGUGGAGCAUUUACUGGAUCACCUGGAGUCACCUUGACUGUUCUAGAUCCAGACCUCAGAGUUCAGGUCAGAAGAUCAGAGACGCAGACGGAGCUGAAGUGUGAAAGCAGCUGUGAUCAAAUCAAACCUCCUUCAUAUGUUUGGUUCAACAAAGAGGAGAAAAUGAAG